AAAAAGCCAAGGAAUCGUGGUGUUAGCUGGGUUCAGCCUCUGGAAAAAUACCAGGACACAUCAAAACCCUCCAGUGGGAGCCUGGGAGGCAGCAGGAUGACAGGGACCAGCCUUGUCACAUCUGCCAGGAGCCACUGGGGGAAAACACUGCCCGUCCCAUGCGCUGGGGCCCACCUGUGGGCCCAGGAUGGGAUCCAGCCAGGCAGGGAAGCCUUGGAUUUGUGUGCCAAUCCCUGCAUCUCACUGCUGGGGGACUUGGAAUUCCUUCUGUGGAGACGGGGAAGCGCUGCUGCUGCUGCUGCUGCUGGCACAGAGGCACAUCCUGCUGGGACCUCAGCUUUCCCUUCCUGGAGCUGUUCUGGCAUCACUGGUAUCAGAACUCGGGGUUUGUGAUGCUGCUCCAGGUGUGCAGGCCACGGAGGAAGCGCCAUCAGGAGCCUGAACCUGGGAAUGUCUCCUGCCCAGCCUCGUGUUCCAGGGAAGAAAGGCCCAGGGGAAGCAGCAGCCUGGCCUGGAGCCACCUCCCUGCAGGGCUGUGCCCAAAUCCUGCUCCCUCCAGCCCAUCCAUCCCUGCAGGGCUGUGCCCAAAUCCUGCUCCCUCCAGCCCAGCCACGUGUGGCUGAAUUUGGGGGCCCCCCAAGUUCAGUGCAGGCAGCUCUAGAGAGGGGCUGAACCCCCUCUCCAUCCUGGGGCUCCUGCUCCUCCUCUGCACCUUCUCCAGCACUGAAGUGAUGAAAUUUUAAUCUGCUGCCAGGCAGGAGAUGAAAGGGAGGUACCACAGGCAUUUCCCUGGGAUGCAGCACGGACACCGUGCUGGGAAUUGUCAUCACCAGGCUCAGGAAAGAGAGGAGCAAUGGUGUGGGUUUGGCAGAGGUUUUUGGUUCUCCCUUGGGUGUCUGUCAGUUGUCCAGGAGAUCUUUGGGGAUCUCCUGGACACGAGGUGACACCUCAGCUGGGGGGGUCUCUCACUGUGCCCCCCAAGAACUGCUGUGGCCGUGCAUGGCCAAGGGAGGGUGGCAAGGGGAUGGUGGCACAGUCACUCCCCUCUUCAGAAUGAGCAGAGAAAAACCAUCAGUCCAUAAACCAAACCAUAGGAUUACCAGAAAUGUGGACCCCACUGAUGCUCCUGGGAGUCCCCAGCACAGGUGGCAGAGGAGUACCUGGGGCAGACAGACAGUGAAGGACGCACAGCCCCUCUCUGGCCCCAGCUCUCCCUGGGUGCUGCAAUCUGCCGCCCACCCCAUGCCCAGCCCCUCUCAGGGCCAGGACACCCCACGGCUGGUGGGCAGCAGCACAGGGGUCACAGCAGGGUGGCAUGAUUUGAAUGAUUUAGGGACUUGGAUUCUAUUCCUAUCACCAGCGAGCACCAAUCAGAGAAUGCCGGUUAAUUAACCGGUUAAUUUCGGAGGCUCCUGGUAUCCUCUUCCCGCGGAAUUUAGCGCUGGUGCCACGUCCCCUCUGCUGCUCCCGGCUGGGAGUGGGAGCCCCCGUGGUCCGAGCAGCCCCCUGGAGGGCGGGACGGGGAAACUGAGGCAGAGAGCGGGGCCGCGCAGAGCGAGGGGCCCG
rnacentral:lncRNA from 12 species